AAUUUUGGACAAUGGGUGAAACCCUGACCCAGCCAUCCCGCGUGUGCGAAGAAGGCCUUCGGGCUGAAAAGCACUUUUGGCAGGGAAGAAACGGCACCGGCUAAUACCGGGUGUCACUGACUGACCCUGCAGAAUAAGGACCGGCUAACUACGUCCCAGCAGCCGCGGUAAGACGUAGGGUGCAAGCGGUAAUCGGAAUUACUGGGCGUAAAGCGUGCGCAGGCGGUUCGGAAAGAAAGAUGUGAAAUCCCAGAGCUUAACUUUGGAACUGCAUUUUUAACUGCCGAGCUAGAGGAUGUCAGAGGGGGGUAGAAUUCCACGUGUAGCAGUGAAAUGCGUAGAGAUGUGGAGGAAUACCGAUGGCGAAGGCAGCCCCCUGGGAUAAUACUGACGCUCAUGCACGAAAGCGUGGGGAGCAAACAGG
rnacentral:rRNA from 1 species